AACGUAGGAGACAAGCGUUAUCCGGAGUUACUGGGCGUAAAGGGCGUGUAGGCGGUCUGUUAAGUCUGGCGUGAAAGCUCUCGGCUAAACCGGGAGAGGUCGUUGGAUACUGGCAGACUAGAGGACGGUAGAGGCGUGUGGAAUUCCGGGUGUAGUGGUGAAAUGCGUAGAUAUCAAGAGGAACACCAGUGGCGAAGGCGAGUCCCUGGACAACACCUGACACUGAGGCACGAAAGCCGGGGGAGCAAACAGG
rnacentral:rRNA from 1 species